GAUGAACGCUGGCGGCGUGCCUAAUACAUGCAAGUCGAGCGAACGGACGAGAAGCUUGCUUCUCUGAUGUUAGCGGCGGACGGGUGAGUAACACGUGGAUAACCUACCUAUAAGACUGGGAUAACUUCGGGAAACCGGAGCUAAUACCGGAUAAUAUUUUGAACCGCAUGGUUCAAAAGUGAAAGACGGUCUUGCUGUCACUUAUAGAUGGAUCCGCGCUGCAUUAGCUAGUUGGUAAGGUAACGGCUUACCAAGGCAACGAUGCAUAGCCGACCUGAGAGGGUGAUCGGCCACACUGGAACUGAGACACGGUCCAGACUCCUACGGGAGGCAGCAGUAGGGAAUCUUCCGCAAUGGGCGAAAGCCUGACGGAGCAACGCCGCGUGAGUGAUGAAGGUCUUCGGAUCGUAAAACUCUGUUAUUAGGGAAGAACAUAUGUGUAAGUAACUGUGCACAUCUUGACGGUACCUAAUCAGAAAGCCACGGCUAACUACGUGCCAGCAGCCGCGGUAAUACGUAGGUGGCAAGCGUUAUCCGGAAUUAUUGGGCGUAAAGCGCGCGUAGGCGGUUUUUUAAGUCUGAUGUGAAAGCCCACGGCUCAACCGUGGAGGGUCAUUGGAAACUGGAAAACUUGAGUGCAGAAGAGGAAAGUGGAAUUCCAUGUGUAGCGGUGAAGUGCGCAGAGAUAUGGAGGAACACCAGUGGCGAAGGCGACUUUCUGGUCUGUAACUGACGCUGAUGUGCGAAAGCGUGGGGAUCAAACAGGAUUAGAUACCCUGGUAGUCCACGCCGUAAACGAUGAGUGCUAAGUGUUAGGGGGUUUCCGCCCCUUAGUGCUGCAGCUAACGCAUUAAGCACUCCGCCUGGGGAGUACGACCGCAAGGUUGAAACUCAAAGGAAUUGACGGGGACCCGCACAAGCGGUGGAGCAUGUGGUUUAAUUCGAAGCAACGCGAAGAACCUUACCAAAUCUUGACAUCCUUUGACAACUCUAGAGAUAGAGCCUUCCCCUUCGGGGGGGCAAAGUGACAGGUGGUGCAUGGUUGUCGUCAGCUCGUGUCGUGAGAUGUUGGGUUAAGUCCCGCAACGAGCGCAACCCUUAAGCUUAGUUGCCAUCAUUAAGUUGGGCACUCUAAGUUGACUGCCGGUGACAAACCGGAGGAAGGUGGGGAUGACGUCAAAUCAUCAUGCCCCUUAUGAUUUGGGCUACACACGUGCUACAAUGGACAAUACAAAGGGCAGCGAAACCGCGAGGUCAAGCAAAUCCCAUAAAGUUGUUCUCAGUUCGGAUUGUAGUCUGCAACUCGACUACAUGAAGCUGGAAUCGCUAGUAAUCGUAGAUCAGCAUGCUACGGUGAAUACGUUCCCGGGUCU
rnacentral:rRNA from 1 species